UUACAAUUGUCAGACCGGUUGCUCACGUGACAUCUACGUCAUUAAGCUCAGUUUGAGUUUGCGCAGUACGCUCGACACCCAGGAAGUGCGUGCUUCUAAUUGGCUUCACUUGCCUCCGUUGAAUCCAAUGGGGUCGCUGUGUCCAUUUCUUUUACUGUCUAUGGUCACCACAAUGGACUAGUUGCACGGGAUGACGUUUUUCUAUUUCCGCUUUCUUGAGUGUACCCGUGUAAGCUUCCGGUUUCUCGAUAUGAAUAGAGGAAGAUAUGAAUCAUGGCGCUGUUUUAAACACAAUGUCUGCCAGAUCUAUCAAAGUAACAAUCACCGAUGUCCAUCGGCUAGUACACCAGCAUGCUCAGCUCCGAUGAGCAAAAGGAAAAAGUUGUUCAAGGUGUAUAUAUCAAGUUACAUCAACAACUAUGAAGAUUGUCUUUGACGACUCCUCACCAGUUGACAUUUCAGUGGCAGACUGUUCUGUGUGGCUGAAAGAGCACUCUGCAACCACUAUGUUGUGUUUGACCCAGCUGAGAGCCCACCCUUCGGACUGCUGGAAAUUAAAUGUCCCAAUUUAAUGACUGUAGCUACUUGAAAAUACAGAGUGCAAUGCUGAAAUUAAAGCAGACUCACAGAAAGAGCCAGGAUGCCAGCUACUUCUUAUAGGGAUGUAGUGGUGUGAUUUUUGGUGUUUUUACAGAGGAGGGUAUUCCCAUACAAUGCAUCUACAGAGACUGUGAGGUGGCUAAAACUAUAAGGAAGGUUAUUUUUAUUUUUACAUGAAUGAAUGUUUGAAGAGGGUUCGCAUCACUUAUGGGAUUUAAUUUGAAUAAUAUGCACUACAUUAUUUCCUCUUUAAAAUCCACUGUACAUAUAACAUUGAUUCUUUAUAAAUAAUAUUGUUAAUAAUGAUACAGUUAAGUAUUAAAAUAAAUAUAUUACUUUUAAUGUGC